UCAUAAUGUAACCUCAUUAGCAUAGCAGGUAUUUAUAAGGGAGUGUUCAUAAUGUAACCUCAUUAGCAUAGCAGGUAUUUAUAAGGGAGUGUUCAUAAUGUAACCUCAUUAGCAUAGCAGGUAUUUAUAAGGGAGUGUUCAUAAUGUAACCUCAUUAGCAUAGCAGGUAUUUAUUUGGUAGCAUUUAUAGUGUU